rnacentral:lncRNA from 1 species
AUUAGGAUUUGUGCCUUCUGAAAGUGCCUCUUCGAUAAUCACCUUUUCCUACAGCCUGAAGACACAGUGAAUACUUCCUGGUUUCUUUCCUUCCAUGUGUUCUAAAUCAGUGUUUGAAUGAGCCUGAAUGAUGAUGAAAUGCCUCUCAGGGGAGUUGGCAGCCUUCAGGAGAUUGAAGGUGUACAGAUGCCUGUUUUGCCAGGACAAAGGGAACAUUGCAUGCCCAUGUUAUUUCCAAC